rnacentral:rRNA from 1 species
UACGGAGGGUGCAAGCGUUAUCCGGAUUCACUGGGUUUAAAGGGUGCGUAGGUGGGCAAGUAAGUCAGUGGUGAAAUCUCCGGGCUUAACCCGGAAACUGCCAUUGAUACUAUUUGUCUUGAAUACUGUGGAGGUCAGCGGAAUAUGUCAUGUAGCGGUGAAAUGCUUAGAUAUGACAUAGAACACCAAUUGCGAAGGCAGCUGGCUACACAAAUAUUGACACUGAGGCACGAAAGCGUGGGGAUCAAAACAGG